CCCCGACUUUUGGGAGGGGCGCAUUUAUUAGAUAAAAGGCUGACGUGGGCUCUGCUCGCUGAUCCGAUGAUUCAUGAUAACUCGACGGAUCGCAUGGCCUUUGUGCCGGGCACGCAUCAUUCAAAUUUCUGCCCUAUCAACUUUCGAUGGUAGGAUAGGGGCCUACCAUGGUGGUGACGGGUGACGGAGAAUUAGGGUUCGAUUCCGGAGAGGGAGCCUGAGAAACGGCUACCACAUCCAAGGAAGGCAGCAGGGGCG
rnacentral:ncRNA from 1 species